GACGAACGCUGGCGGCGUGCUUAACACAUGCAAGUCGAACGGAAAGGCCCUGCUUUUGUGGGGUGCUCGAGUGGCGAACGGGUGAGUAACACGUGAGUAACCUGCCCUUGACUUUGGGAUAACUUCAGGAAACUGGGGCUAAUACCGGAUAGGAGCUCCUGCUGCAUGGUGGGGGUUGGAAAGUUUCGGCGGUUGGGGAUGGACUCGCGGCUUAUCAGCUUGUUGGUGGGGUAGUGGCUCACCAAGGCUUUGACGGGUAGCCGGCCUGAGAGGGUGACCGGCCACAUUGGGACUGAGAUACGGCCCAGACUCCUACGGGAGGCAGCAGUGGGGAAUAUUGCACAAUAGGCGGAAGCCUGAUGCAGCAACGCCGCGUGCGGGAUGACGGCCUUCGGGUUGUAAACCGCUUUCGCCUGUGACGAAGCGUGAGUGACGGUAAUGGGUAAAGAAGCACCGGCUAACUACGUG
rnacentral:rRNA from 1 species